AACACCAUAUUCAUCUCCGCUACUAAAACCACAUUUAUUUUAUGUUUCCAUCAUUUUAAUUUUUUAUUUAGUAUUGCAAUAAAAGAAAAAAGAGAAAACAAAAUAGAGAGGAAGAAAGAAGAAGGAGGAAGAAGAAGAAAGAAAGGAAAAGAGAAAGAGAAGAAAAAAAGAGAGAUCGUGAGAGAAAAAGAAGAAAGAGAGAAUAAAAAAAGGAAAGAAA
rnacentral:lncRNA from 1 species